GAUGAAGAACGUAGCGAAAUGCGAUAAGUAAUGCGAAUUGCAGAAUUUCCGUGAGUCAUCGAAUCUUUGAACGCACAUUGCGCCCCUUGGUAUCCCGAGGGGCAUGCCUGUUCGAGCGUCAUUUCACCACUCAAGCCUGGCUUGGUGUUGGGCGACGUCCUCUUUGGGGACGCGCCUCGAAACGCUCGGCAGCGUGGCACCGGCUUUAAGCGUAGCAGAAUCUUUCGCUUUGGAAGUCGGGGCCCCGUCUGCCGGAAGACCUGCUCGCAAGGUUGACCUCGGAUCAGGCAGGGAUACCCGCUGAACUUAAGCAUAUCAAUAAGCGGAGGA
rnacentral:misc_RNA from 1 species